GCGUAAGUGGCCGAGUGGUUAAGGCGUGCGGUUCAGGUCCGCAUGUGGCAACACGCGCAGGUUCGAACCCUGCCUUACGCA
rfam:Ichthyophthirius multifiliis unplaced genomic scaffold scaff_1120509251205, whole genome shotgun sequence.